rnacentral:rRNA from 1 species
GUGGGGAAUAUUGGACAAUGGGCGAAAGCCUGAUCCAGCAAUGCCGCGUGAGUGAAGAAGGCCUUAGGGUUGUAAAGCUCUUUUACCCGGGAAGAUAAUGACUGUACCGGGAGAAUAAGCUCCGGCUAACUCCGUGCCAGCAGCCGCGGUAAUACGGAGGGAGCUAGCGUUGUUCGGAAUCACUGGGCGUAAAGCGCACGUAGGCGGCUUUGUAAGUUAGAGGUGAAAGCCCGGGGCUCAACUCCGGAACUGCCUUUAAGACUGCAUCGCUUGAAGCUGGGAGAGGUAAGUGGAAUUCCGAGUGUAGAGGUGAAAUUCGUAGAUAUUCGGAAGAACACCAGUGGCGAAGGCGGCUUACUGGACCAGAAUUGACGCUGAGGUGCGAAAGCGUGGGGAGCAAACAGGAUUAGAAACCCGGGUAGUCC